CGGAGGAGCUGCGCGCGCUGGCCGCCCACCUCGCCGCCCAGCUCCGCGCGGCGAAUAUUCCAGUCUUCCCGCUACCGGUGGCGCCGGGUGCGUCGGCGCCAUCUGUCGACAAGGCGGCGCACUUUGAGUUCCCAUCGCCGGCCACUGAUGCGACUGAAGGUGGCCGUUUGGCCUGUGACGGGGAUCAGAUUACGCCAGAGUGCGACGCGGCAGAAGGCUCGGCAGCCGCCGGAGUUAGCAAGGCCUCUGGAAAAGGUGGCCGCUGGCUGGAGGCGGCGCUGCGCCGUGCCGACGGCGCCGGCGUACCCUCGGCCGUGCUGCUGACCGAGCCGACCCUGCUGGACGGUGUGUGUCGGCUGCGCUGCAGGGACACCACACUCAGCCACCAGCUGCACGUGUCCCAGGUCACCGAGGUCACGUGAGGUCCUGCCACGGAUAAGCCGCCGGCGCGCUGGCGAGUGUUCCGCGUGUCACAAAGCGGCGUAGGUGACCUGGUUGUCUCGCUUUAUGGAGAUGCCUCGGCGGGCUUGUGUUUAAGGCUUCUGGGGGUGUUGAAGAGGCCGAUGGCCCAGGUGGUGUGGGGGUCGACUCGCGGUCCGGCCGCGCCGAGCCGUCGGGAUAGGACCGUGAGGUGUUGGCGAUCGCCUGGGCAAUGUCCAGUCAGCCCGCGGCGGCGCCGCACCGGCUGUUCGUCGGCGGACCAGGCCAAGCCGUCCCGGCCCAGCCCCUGCGCCGUGAUAGAGACAGACCACCGGAGGGGCGCGCGAAGUGUCGACUGGGCUCGGUCAGAUGCUGCCGCCCGUGCGCCCUGGCGUUUGACGGACCAGGCCGCAACGACGACGGGAUUGGGAGCCAUGUGAUAAUUGGUGUGUGAGACCAGGCCUAGUGCCCGUCACACUACCUCGUGUGUGGCCUGGCCGGCCGCUCCUGCGCGCGCCACAGCCGCCGUCAGACCUGUGAAUAAACGCCGAGCAUUCA